UAAGUGGUGCUAUAUGAAUAAAACUGAACAGAUCUAAAGAAGGGUUCCUGACAUUUAAGUUUAUUAGAACAGGACACAUGGAUGACUGCAGCCCGCUCAGAUCAAGGCUUUGACGUUUCAAAUAUUCCAGUUCAUCCAAGAACCUCAGCAGUUUCUGUUAACAUGUUGUUGUUUUGCUCCCCCAUCUCAACCACUGAGCCUGGUGAUUUCUUUAGAGGAAAAGGACAAAAGGGAACAAAAAGACACCGACUGCAGAGAUGCUGAUCUUCUACACUUUGAAAUCACAAAAUCACAAAUUGACAUUUUCUAGAAAUCUUAAUGUGUUGAGCUGAGCUGUUUAACUUGAACAGUGAACAGUGGUGGAAGAAGUAUUUAGAUCUGACUGGAGUAAAAAUGGCAACAUUUCAGCACAAAAUACUAAAUAUAGAUAAAAUAUUUAAGUGAAGCUCCUGGUUUCAAAAAAAUAAUAAUAAUUAUUAUUAUUAUUGUUAUUAUUUUUACUAAAUUGAUGUCAAACUGCAAUGGAAAAAGGCAUAAUAUUUGAAACAAAUAUGUAUCAGAGGUUUUUGAACUCAAAUCUCUUUAAGAUUCAGCUUUAAUUUGUUUUUUCUCUUGAUAUUCCUGUAUUCUCUCUAAAGCUUUUGUUUGAUCAGCAGCGACAAGACUCACGAUCUCCAGUAUUACGGCAUCACCUCGAAUCUGGAGAGCAUGGGUACCACGCAUGUGUCUGUGCUGACCGAAGAUGGAUCCGCUGUGUCUGUCACCAGCAGCAUCAACCACAUGUCAGUGUCUGGAUGAAACUGUUUCACUGUUAGGAAGCAGCUAUCAAAAAUGUGUCUUCCUUUGAAACUGAAAGAUUGAAAAGGUUUAAGAGAUUAUUUUUAGAAGCUGCUUUGCAAAAUUUCUGUACUCGUACGUGUUGUCAUUCAUUUACCGUUUUCUACUUGCAGAUUUGCCUCCAAAUUCCUGCCUCCAAGCACUGGAAUCAUCCUUAAUGAUGUGCUGUUUGACUUCUGCACAAUAUCUAAUUUUGGUAAGGGAUCAGCUGGAUACAUUUUACACUCAUUAUUAAUGAAAUACAAGCACAGGGAAGAGCAUUGUGGAGAUCAGGAUGCACAGUGAGGAUUGUUCCAAAACUAAUGACACAGAGUUUAUUUUAUUUCCUGCAGUUAUUUUCUUAGGGAAUGAAUAAAGUCUAUUUAGAAUUAACUCAUAAGCAAGGUUUUUGUUACAUUCCAACACACAUUUCUCAGAGGAAAAAAGUAAAACAAACAACAAACAACAUUUCCUUCAGCAUUCAUCAGUGUCUGAUGUAAAUGGCACGUGUCCGGGUUGAAUAAAUGCAUCAUGAUCUGAUUCACAUCAUUCAGAAGCAAUUUAUAUGUGAUCAUUUUUCUCUUAACAGUGAUGAGUGUGGAUUGUAGUUUUGUGCUGUCACUCAAGGCUUUUGUUGUAUUUCUCAGGAGAGCAGCCUCCCUCCUCUAUGGCUCCAGUUCUGCUGAAGUCUCAGUUGAAGACACUGGUGGUUGGAUCGACUGGUGGGAGUAUGACCAGUACUGGAAUGGCUUUGGUACGUGUCCAUGGCAAUCACACAAAUUGCU
ensembl:lncRNA